rnacentral:piRNA from 1 species
UAGGAAUUUCCUAGUGUAUUCUUGAAUUUG